UUUGUCAUAGAGGCAAGUAUGAUACACUUGACAGUUAAAGAAUCAUUUUACCACAUCCUAUAUGUGGCUUUUUCUUCCUCUGUGGCAUCCUCCCCAACUGGCUCAAUGUCAGGGGUAUCGAGGAUGUAAGAAAGCUUCUCUUGACUAAGUACUAUUUUAAGAUUUCUCAAUCAGUCUAUAUAGUUGGUACCAGUCAAUUUAUUUGUAUCCAAAAU
rnacentral:lncRNA from 1 species